rfam:Microgenomates (Daviesbacteria) bacterium GW2011_GWA2_42_7 TV41_C0006, whole genome shotgun sequence.
GCCGAAGUGAUGGAAUGGUAGACAUGCAACGUUCAGAACGUUGUGGGCGCAAGCUCGUGGAGGUUCGACUCCUCUCUUCGGCA